GGAGGAUGCGAGCGUUAUCCGGAUUUAUUGGGUUUAAAGGGUGCGUAGGUGGUUUCUUAAGUCAGAGGUGAAAGGCUACGGCUCAACCGUAGUAAGCCUUUGAAACUGGGAAACUUGAGUGCAGGAGAGGAGAGUGGAAUUCCUAGUGUAGCGGUGAAAUGCGUAGAUAUUAGGAGGAACACCAGUUGCGAAGGCGGCUCUCUGGACUGUAACUGACACUGAGGCACGAAAGCGUGGGGAGCAAACAGGAUUAGAUACCCUGGUAGUCCACGCUGUAAACGAUGAGUACUAGCUGUCGGAGGUUACCCCCUUCGGUGGCGCAGCUAACGCAUUAAGUACUCCGCCUGGGAAGU
rnacentral:rRNA from 1 species